GAUGAACGCUGGCGGCGUGCCUAAUACAUGCAAGUCGAGCGAAUGGAUUAAGAGCUUGCUCUUAUGAGGUUAGCGGCGGACGGGUGAGUAACACGUGGGUAACCUGCCCAUAAGACUGGGAUAACUCCGGGAAACCGGGGCUAAUACCGGAUAACAUUUUGAACCGCAUGGUUCGAAAGUUAAAGGCGGCUUCGGCUGUCAUUUAUGGAUGGACCUGCGUCGCAUUAGCGAGUUGGUGAGGUAACGGCUCACCAAGGCAACGAUGCGUAGCCGACCUGAGAGGGUGAUCGGCCACACUGGGACUGAGACACGGCCCAGACUCCUACGGGAGGCAGCAGUAGGGAAUCUUCCGCAAUGGACGAAAGUCUGACGGAGCAACGCCGCGUGAGUGAUGAAGGCUUUCGGGUCGUAAAACUCUGUUGUUAGGGAAGAACAAGUGCUAGUUGAAUAAGCUGACACCUCGACGGUACCUAACCAGAAAGCCACGGCUAACUACGUGCCAGCCGCCGCAGUAA
rnacentral:rRNA from 1 species